UGACAUUGUUUCAUGAUAUGACUCAUCGUGAAAGCAAAUGCCAUGUUGAUGACAUGAUGACAAAGUCCCAAGUAGAAGAGGGGCAUCCGGUGGAAUUGAUCCAGUGGUUUGACAGGUAGAGAUAACUCAUACCGUUGAGUUCGAAUCAGUGCACUUAUGGAGUGUUGUCCGGUAAGCUGCCGAGGCUUAUUAUGAGCGGAUAAGAGGAAUCGAGGUCGAUCCUGCAAAAAAAAAA
rnacentral:lncRNA from 1 species